AAUGCUUAGGUUCCCACGCGCGCAGCCGGUCGCUGACCAAUCAGCGGCCGCUACAAGACACGCCUGGGCCGUCAGCCGACCAAUCCAGCGGACCUCUGAGCCGUUGCAGGGGAGCGGGCGUCGCUAGAGCGACUGCCAAGGGGAGAGUCUUUGGUUUCCUCGGGGCGGCCGCACUUCCGGCCUCCGAGCCCCUGUAGCUUGGCGUUGUUCGCGGGGGCCGGUGGGAUCGGAACCCCGUGCUAGAGUGAAAACACGAGCCUCUAAGGCUGAGAGGGGUUUAGUGCGGUUGUGCAGGAGCGCCGGCGCGCGCGACUUUUUCUGUGUUGGAGCGGGUUUAAGGAGGCGGCUCUGGGGGGUGAGGCGUUUAGGUGCGUGGCCUCCCCACUCUCGGGUGAGGUAACACAGACCUUGGAGCCAGAUUUGCUGGGUUUGUACCCCAGCCCCAACAGUUAAGCGCUCUGUGGCUUUGGGCAACUCAGGUAGCAUGGAUCUCAUCAGCACAGAGAGAAAGCUUCACUGAAAACUCAUUGCAGAGAACCAGGCGAGGCCGGUUACUGGGAGGACACGAGUAUCAGCUUUCGGUAUUCUUGGUUCCUUGAAAGCAGGAAGAUGGAGAGGAAGGAAGGCACUCUACCCACAAAGAUGAAUGUAGUGUUCUAAAGUCCCUUCAUUCCUGCUCAAACUGCAGAUGUGCUGUUAUGAACACAGGUCGCACCCCUUCAACUCAGAUGGCAACAGUGCAGUCAGAGGCCUGCCCUUCCAAGCCUCAGACCCAUGCAGCAGUACGAAUUGAGGUUAAAACACAGAUGCCACUAACCUGCACACCAAAUGGCAUGAGUCAGUGACACCAGCUCCGAGACCUGUUUUGAGCCCAAGCAACCGUCCAAGCCACACGCCUGCUUCUCCCACUUUCACGUGCGGACGAUAAUCGUGAUGUCGACAACAACUUGCCAUCUUUCUCUGAAUAUUCAUUCAACAAAUAAUUACUGCGCAUCCACUGAGUGCUGUCCCUCCCCGAGGCACUGAGGAGGAACACAGAGGCUCUACAGGGUGGAGAAACCCCAAGAUGGAAGGCGCCUGGGUACCAAAUGACUGCAUGCCGACCUGCAUCAGACUGCAGUGUGAGAACGAAGCCACUGAAAUGAGAACAAGGAGGGUGGAGAUGACCUGGGAGGUUUUCGCUAGGUCUCUCACGCCGGAAGCCUAUUGUUCCAUGAAACCUGGAACCAGCACCACCUUCUGAAAUGAUUCCUCAUCGUCAGUUCUUAUUUCUUCUUGCCAUUUCUGCUGAUCAUCCAGAACUGACCACCCUACGCGUAAAUGUCAGCAUCUGCAAGGGCAAUAAUAUGUUCUGGCAUCUGCCCAGCCUGGGUAACCUUUUUGCCCCAGGCUGACCUUGUUGGUGACCUUGGGGAUCCCAAUUCCAGCUCCACUCUCCAGGAUACACACCCUCUCCGUAUGUUUCCCUAAGGUGGCUUCCCCGCUUUACUCUCUUUGGCUCCAAUGCUAGAAACCCAGUUUGGCCGCCAAAGUUUAUUUCCCUGGAGCAAGCUGGAUGCCCCUGCAUAGCUAUGGCUGUGGCGGAGCCUUACUCCUGAUCUCUCCUAUUAGCAGCAGCACGUCGCUACUGCUGCCCCCGCCCACUGCUCCCAGGAGACCCCGCGACUUCCACAAGAAACCACUGCUAUAAAGUGGCUCACUCGUUCGUAAGGAACUAUGUGUUUAUUCAUAUGUAUUUUAUAUCGUAACAAAUGUAAAUUAAUUUCAGGGGCCCAACUACCCAAGCUAGUAUCUAUAUGGCUGCCUGUACAACAUUUCUCUCUCAAAAUUCUCAAAACCAUCUGGCAUCAACUACUGUAUUGUGACCUGUUAAAAUAAGUAACAGCUGUGAUAAUCCCUCUCGAUUUAUGGCAAGCUAUAAAGCUUUGCAUA